CUUGUGUUAUUAUCUUGAAGUGCUGUAUGUCACAAAAAUAACCAAAUUUCCUUGUCAACUACAUCAUAAUGAACUCUAAUGAGAUCUUUAACCAUGGCCAUUUUUAAGUCUUCUAUCAUUUACAGUUAUACUUUCACUAAGAUGCCUUUGUAAGUUUCCUGCAAAUGUGCUUCAUCUUCAGUGAGACUCGUGAAAAAGCAAAACAAAACCUCUGCAUACGGGUUUCUGAUAAUCUUAGAUCAUAAAACUGAACUAGGUAAAAAUUUCCAGAACUAGUAGAAAAACCAGAUUCAAUCAGAACAAGAAUUAAUAACAUGGGGCGGGGGAGGGGCAAAUAAAUUGAGGCAGAUAAUCUUACUUUUUAUGACUUCUUAUUUGAAACAUUGCUGACAUUUUUAAAAGUGUUUUUGUUUUUUCCAGAUUUAAGAAAAAAUUUCAUCUUAAGCUAACUGAUUUACAGCCAUUAGAUAAAAUAUACCUUUGUGGACAAAUGGAAACAUUUAUCUUUUCUCUCUACCUGAACCCUCCAGAAUUCAGAAACUCUCAUUUACUGAAGCCCCGGUCAGCAGAGGGGCUCCAGCAGCAAUAGUCAGAUUCCCCAGGCUGGGGAAGGGCCUCUGCAUUAGCACCCCUGACAACCUAGAUGGCUCUGAUUAGGAUUCUCACUGGAAUACUCCACCGUUAGUGUACAUGUGGUAUCCAGGGACCUAAAAGUCUAUCCACCAUGAGCAUUUGUAUGUUACAGUGAAUGCCAAAUUGGGAGAAGAAUCAAAAGAAUCUGUUGCUGAUGAAGAAGAAGACAGUGAUGAGGACACUGAACCUAUUGCUGAAUUUAGAUUUGUGCCUCAUGACAAACCGGGUUGGAGGCAGCGUUCACUGCAAUGUGUGAAUGCCAGGCUUCGUGUCCAGAUCCUGAGGAUGAAGAUUCAGGUGAUUAUGAGGAAGAAUAUAAUGUAGAAGCACAUGAGCAAGGGCAGGGGACAUCCCUACAUUUUAUAUCUAUGAAGGAGGAUUAUCCCAGGAGCACCCGGUGGCUCAGUCAGUUGGGCAUCCGACUUCGGCUCAGGUCAUGAUCUCACAGUUUGUGAGUUCGAGCCCCAAGUCGGGCUCUGUGCUGACAGUUCAGAGCCUGGAGCCUGCUUCAGAUUCUGUGUCUCUCCCUCUCUCUGCUCCUGCUCAUGCUCUGUCUCUCUCUGUCUCUCAAUAAUAAAUAAAUAUGUGUUAAAAAAAAAAAAAAGAUUAUCCCAUAUAACAGCAGAAGGCCAAGCUACAUUGGAGAGAUUAGAAGGAAGUCUUUCUCAGUCUGUGCAGCCCAUAUAACAUGGCUGGAGCAUGGACAGAAGAUUCAAUAAGAGAUUAUAAAGAUGGGAUGGAGGUAGAUACUACACCAACAGUUGUUGGCCUGUUUGGAGAUGCAAAUACUCAUCACUGAAAAUGAUUUAUGCUGCUUUGGAAUUGUCAUAAAUAUAGAAGAAAACUUGGUGCCUCUUCCACUGUGGAGUGGAUGUUGAUGAAAGUCUUUUUCCUUCUCUAAAACUUACCUGAACCCGUCCUUUUUUUUUUUUGAAACAGACCGUACUGAGACAACAAGUUGUCACCAGCAGAAGAAACUAUGACCUUUAUUUUAAAAGGUGCAUUAGUUUAACCAAGAGGGUAUUUGUAGACUUCCAUUUGCCACCCUCCCCCCCCAAACUUUCUGUAUAUGGGGACCCUCUGUUCAGGCCUGCAGUUCCUGCCUUCACUAUAUGCAUCUUCUGUAAGCUUGCAGGUGGAUGUGAUGACAGCACGCAGGUGCUUGAAGGUACAGGAACACUGGAGGAAAAGGGGAGGGGCUGAGUCUAAAUUCUACCCCUUGAGGGGCUAAAAAUACCUAAGACACCCUUUAAAAUGAAAGAGAUCUCCGAGAAAUCCUGGCAUUUGCUCAUUCUCCACAGGGGCAAGUGUCUUUUUUACUAACUUGGGACCAAGAUUAAUUCACUCACAUAUCUUUAGGGAGCCUGUUGGGAAACAUCCUAGCCACACAUAUAACUACUAACACAAGUACUUCUGACUAGUUUUACUCCUUCCACCAUGUUUCACCAAUCUGUUCCUUUAUAACCUGUUGGGUUAUAUCCUUGAAUUUCUAAUGUCUUAGGUCAGUUUCUGUAACAGAACAAGUGAAAUCGAGAUGAAGUCCUCAAAGUCUUUCAGAUGAUAACUGUUUUUUAUCUUUGUAAUCAUUUAACAAAAAAAAAUUUAGGUUUUCUCCC